rnacentral:rRNA from 1 species
AUUGAACGCUGGCGGCAGGCCUAACACAUGCAAGUCGAGCGAGCGGCGGAAGGGUGAGUAAUGUCUGGGAAACUGCACGAUGGAGGGGGAUAACUACUGGAAACGGUAGCUAAUACCGCAUACUAUCAGAUGUGCCCAGACGGGAUUAGCUAGUAGGUGGGGUAAUGGCUAACCUAGGCGACGAUCCCUAGCUGGUCUGAGAGGAUGAUCAGACACACUGGGACUGAGACACGGCCCAGACUCCUACGGGAGGCAGCAGUGGGGAAUAUUGCACAAUGGGCGCAAGCCUGAUGCAGCCAUGCCGAGUGUGUGAAGAAGGCCUUAGGGUUGUAAAGCACUUUCAGUGGGGAGGCGUUACCCACAGAAGAAGCACCGGCUAACUCCGUGCCAGCAGCCGCGGUAAUAC